rnacentral:misc_RNA from 1 species
UAUGAUCACAAACGUGUACAG